rnacentral:pre_miRNA from 1 species
UGCCAGUUUUUACCGCUGUGAUACUCCAAGAGACGGUUAUCACCGGGUGAAAAUUGGUAGA